GGGACACUGUAAGGCACUUUCCCGGGUGUCUAAGAGCAACCGCUGCAAGUGCACAGCCGAGUCCCUGAAACUGGGACCCAUGGGCUCCCGCGUUCGGGCUCAGACCCCAAGGUAUUUUCUGAAGUCUUGAUAUGGAAAAGGCAAGACGCCAAGGCCUGCUGAAAGAGGUAUAUAUAAAACAGAGUUUACAGGUUGAAGAAGAUCAGGCUUGCUAUGCUGAGAUCUUGUGUGAGGCAAAUACUUAGUGAACUUUUGCAGGUCAACUCCAAGCUCAUCUGGCCAGAUAGUACUCCACCGCUCUAUGUUGGAGAAAGUCUUGCCUCAGCACCUGAGUUAGUCUCAGCUGACAUCAUUCUGCCAGUUAGCUAGAGUACAAGGAAGUGACAAGAAGCCACCAGCAUACCACCAGAAGUUUUUGGUUCAUCUCUCUGUAGAGUCCUGACAAAUGGAGCUCAACUAUGCAAUGUGGACCAAUACAUGCAUCUCUGUAGGGAAGAAUCCUUUAUCAUGUGUCCUUUCACAUGCUUGCUUUAGGAGAAAAUCCUUUAACCUUGUGUCUGCUUCAGUGAAACUUUCCUUCACAUGCCUGCUUUAGUAAAACAUCCUUUCACUUGUGUCUGCUUCAGGAAAAUACUCCUUCACAUGUUUGCCCCAGCAAAACUCCAUCUGACACAUCUGACUUUCCAAAGAACUCUUAAGUGUCCACUGUACUUUAUUUUUUUUUUUUAAUUGAAAGAAAAUUGUGAUAAAGUUGAAUAUCUGUUCAAGGGAACAAGUUUUCAGAAUCCUUUUUAUUUUUAUAGAUGUAUCCAAAAUAC